rnacentral:rRNA from 1 species
GGAGUCUGGUCCGUGUCUCAGUACCAGUGUGGGGGACCUUCCUCUCAGAACCCCUAACGAUCGUAGGCCAGGUGGGCCGUUACCCCGCCUGCUGCCUAAUCGUACGCAUCCCCAUCCAUCGGCGACCGAAGUCUUUCGUGAAAAUCAGAGGCCUUCUUCUCACAACAUCAGGUAUUAGGCUCCCUUUCGGAAGGUUAUUCCUGACCCAUGGGCAGGUUGGAUACGCGUUACUCACCCGUGCGCCGGUCGCCAUCUAUCAAAGCAAGCUUCGAUAAUGAUGCCCCUCGACUUGCAUGUGUUAAGCCUGUAGCUAGCGUUCAUC